ACAGGUUUUGUGAUUCUCUCUGAAGUCAAAGGGAGUCACCUAAAUAGAAGAGAGAAGCAAAGUGAACUGAUUUCAAAAUCUGAAUGAGCUUGGGAAAGAUUUGUCACUGUUCAUCCAGCUCUUGAUGUGAACCAGGGUGACAGUCGGUGCUGUUGGUGGGGUCAUGA
rnacentral:lncRNA from 1 species